rnacentral:rRNA from 1 species
AACGAACGCUGGCGGCAUGCCUAACACAUGCAAGUCGAACGAUGCCUUCGGGCAUAGUGGCGCACGGGUGCGUAACGCGUGGGAAUCUGCCCUUGGGUUCGGAAUAACUCAGAGAAAUUUGAGCUAAUACCGGAUGAUGACGUAAGUCCAAAGAUUUAUCGCCCAAGGAUGGAGCCCGCGUAAGAUUAGCUAGUUGGUAGGGUAAAGGCCUACAAGGCGACGAUCUUUAGCUGGUCUGAGAGGAUGAUCAGCCACACUGAGACUGAGACACGGCCCAGACUCCUACGGGAGGCAGCAGUGGGAAUAUUGGACAAUGGGCGAAAGCCUGAUCCAGCAAUGCCGCGUGAGUGAUGAAGGCCUUAGGUUGUAAAGCUCUUUACCUAGGAUGAUAAUGACAGUACCUGGAGAAU